rnacentral:rRNA from 1 species
CAUGCAGGUGAUCGCCGUUGAAAGACGGUUUCCUCUUCGGAGGCACCUGCACAGGUGCUGCAUGGCUGUCGUCGGCUCGUGUCGUGAGAUGUUGGGUUAAGUCCCGCAACGAGCGCAACUCUUAUCCCUAGUUGCCAUCAGGUAAAGCUGGGAACUCUGGGGAGACUGCCGGUGAUAAACCGGAGGAAGGCGGGGAUGACGUCAAGUCCUCAUGGCCCUUACAUCCCGGGCUACACACGUGCUACAAUGGCAGGUACAGAGGGCUGCGAAGCCGCGAGGUGGAGCGAAUCCCAGAAAACCUGUCUCAGUCCGGAUUGAAGUCUGCAACUCGACUUCAUGAAGGCGGAAUCGCUAGUAACCGCGAAUCAGCAGGUCGCGGUGAAUACGUUCCCGGGCCUU